CACGGCAACUGUGCAGAGAGGCUUGCAGGUCCAAACCACUGGUAGCAGCCCCUGGUAUAUCCAGGACAUCAGCACAUAGAACCAGUGAAAGGGUCCUCCCUCAUAGUGACGCAUGUCAUAGACUCAGAUUUAUACAAACAAAUGCUGAGCAAACCAUGAAGAGUCUCUGGUAUUUUCAACAAUAUCAUCACAGAGGAACUGUAUUGAUUUCCUUGAGUUAUAUUUUCAGUGGCAGUCCAGAGAUACAGCAUUAAUUCCAGCCGAAUCUAACAGCAACAAGGGGAGGGACGUUUAUAACACUAGACCUUUGUUACAUGCAUAUGGCUUGUGAAGCAGUCACACUUCAUCAACAGAGCCUGGCAGCAUCUUUCUGCUGUGCUUAAUAGCGAAGGGUGAAUGCUUCAUUUUCUACCAAAACACGCCUUCCACGUGUGGGGAUCUCCAACGGGCGUCUGGAGCUCUUGGCUGGAGAGGCUGCCUCUGCCCCAGUGCCAGGUGCGCUGGAGAAAACAGGCAUGGGAGCACAGGAAGGAUCACGGCUGUCGCACAGGAGGCAUGGAGCUGACGGGACCUCCAGGGGCACAGGAUGGGGUCAGGAUAGGCGAGGACCUUUGGAUGGCAGGAGAUGGCAGAGCAUUGAGAAAGAACAGAUUCUGCGGAGCUGCGAGGAAAAUAAAUAGAGCCAUUCGCCUUCAUCUCCUUGAGCUAGCUGUCAGACUAUAUCGACUAAUAUGGAGUCCGUCUAGUUGUGUAUGAGUCUGUGUACAAUUGCAUGUGUGUAUUUGCAGCUUUGAUCCGGAAGCCUUCUAAAAAAGAAACUGAUGGUUGGCUGCCAUCAACACAUUUCCUUUCCUCCAGUUCUGUAUGCAACCAAGCCUGUGUGUCAAGGGUUCCCCUAAGUGUGGAGCUCCAGUUCCAGCAUCAAAGACAAAGCAUAUCAGAAAUGC
ensembl:lncRNA LINC01255 long intergenic non-protein coding RNA 1255